GGGGGCGUCCCGGUUUCGACGGGGCAUUCAGCGAUCGAGGAGCACGCCGAGCACGGCCGUUCGCUCGUAAAAACGACGGUCAACAACUAGCUGCCAACACCAGCGACUACGCUCUCGCGGCCUAAUUAGCCUCGACGGGCGCCGGGGAGCCUGUCCGGGGCGCCUCGGCGUUUGACGCGAAAUCCGGGCUGGGGCCGCCUCCGCCAUCUGAAGAGGCUGGCCCGAGAGUUACAGGUUCGCUGCCGCGCCCGGUUGUCCGGACCUGAAUGCGCGGCGGCUAAAAAAACAAGUCCGGACUGAGCGUGGAGAAUCUCGACGUUCGGGCGCUUCGGACGGGGGUUCGACUCCCCCCGCCUCCACCA
rnacentral:tmRNA from 1 species